rnacentral:snoRNA from 11 species
ACUGGCUGUGAUGACAAACUUGCCCUCACUGACAUUACAUUGAUUGAGACUUUAUAUUUACCUGAGCCACA